rnacentral:rRNA from 1 species
AUUGAACGCUGGCGGCAUGCCUUACACAUGCAAGUCGAACGGCAGCACGGGUGCUUGCACCUGGUGGCGAGUGGCGAACGGGUGAGUAAUACAUCGGAACAUGUCCUGUAGUGGGGGAUAGCCCGGCGAAAGCCGGAUUAAUACCGCAUACGAUCUACGGAUGAAAGCGGGGGACCUUCGGGCCUCGCGCUAUCGGGUUGGCCGAUGGCUGAUUAGCUAGUUGGUGGGGUAAAGGCCUACCAAGGCGACGAUCAGUAGCUGGUCUGAGAGGACGACCAGCCACACUGGGACUGAGACACGGGCCAGACUCCUACGGGAGGCAGCAGUGGGGAAUUUUGUACAAUGGGCGAAAGCCUGAUCCAGCAAUGUCGCGUGUGUGAAGAAGGCCUUCGGGUUGUAAAGCACUUUUGUCCGGAAAGAAAUCCUUGGCCCUAAUACGGUCGGGGGAUGACGGUACCGGAAGAAUAAGCACCGGCUAACUACGUG